GCCAAGCAGAGUCUUACACGAUGAACUAAUUCAUGACAUCUUCCAUUUGCGGCUCACCCUCACUCACCCUGGACAGUGAUGAGCAUCUUCCCAUACAAACUUCACUGCACUUUCUUCCCACUCACCUAAGAUAGAGUAGUUCUUCUUAAAGCCAUCUUUUCUGAGCCUUGCCAAGUUCACAUUCAUGUCCCUGGAUGCAUCACCAUCAUUAAUACAUUCUAAAUGUGCCGUAAAGACGGGCAAGGGGGAGAAAAUAAAUACCAGAGACAAUUUCCAUACGCGUUAGUCAUGGAUCUCUGCAGAUUUAUUUUCUACCUGCAUUCAAAGUGAACAAUCCCCAGGCCACCUCAGCUUGGUGACACAGAAAGCCAGUGGCAUGCUUGAUGUGGUGUGACAGAGAGUGUCUGCUGUUUGCACUGAGUUCAUUCCCUCCUGGCAGAGAGGAGGGAAAUCGAGCUGCAUUUCCUCCCCUUUCAGUAUGGAAUUUUGGUCUUUGCUCUCUGUCAGAUUUCCUCUUGACUUCUCAAGCGAUCUCCUAGAAUACACUCCAGAGAAGGAGGGUUUUGGCAUCUGGACAAUCAUGCUGCAUGACCUUCUAGCUUAGCUUUAAAUGGGUUCUAGGAUCUUAGUCACAGCUCCUUCCAAUCAACUUUAUAUUUCCUCAGUAAAGCAUGAUCAGAACAAUUGACUCCUACACUGAUUGCUUCUCAGCCUUGUUCUUUAAAUAAAUUAGCCCUUAUGAAAAUGCCUAAAAAUCAUAUUACUAUUUAUUUACUCUUAUUGAAGUGGGGAAAGGCUGCUGUGUGUCUCUAAUCGGAAUUCACAUUUUCAGGAUCAAUAGAAUCAGAUUACCGGGCAGGAUAAAGGAUACACUAGUCUUAGUUUCAUGACUUAUUGAUUCAGCAGACAGAAUCCACAAGGUGCUUAAGUUUAUUUCCCAAAAUCUAUUUAAUACAUCAAAGUGGCUAUAAAAUUUUCUGAGUGACUGAUGAUACAGAAAACUCAAACUGGCAAUAACUAGCAAAAUUCACUUUCCUGCAUAGACCAUUCUUAAGUUUGAUUCAGAGACGAGUAAAGAAGCAAUUUCCUUCCAAAGUUAGCAUUAGGAGGGCUUGGGAUAGAGCUCAUUUGGAGAAUGCUUACCUAGCUCACUUGGGGCUUGUGUGGUGCUUCUCAGUCCCAGUUAUGCAUACAACCAUCUAUGGUGACACAAGACCAUAACCCCAACCUGCAAGAGGUAAAAGCUGGAGAAUUAGAAAAUGAGGAUCAACUACAUAUUGAGUUUAAGGGAAGCCUGGGUCACAGGACACUUGUCUCAAAAAAAAUUUUAGAUAAAUAAAUAAAUGACAUUUUGGGUUUGUUUUAGACUGUAUGCUCUCUAAUUCUGACAUUUACUUAGUACUUUAUAGCUUUCGAAAUGUUUAUACACACAUCACAUUUGAUCCUUUGUGUGAUUUUAAUUCAGCUUUACUAUCAGAAGUAAUGGAUAUUGGAGUCCAGAACCUUGAGUCAUGGAAAUACAGUUAAUAGAGAAUUUUAUAAGUUGUCCAAACUCUGCUUCAAGCACAGCCACAUGUGACUUCAUUGUGUGGAAUCGCUGUGUUUCAGUGGCUAAAUAUUUUCCAGCUUCCGUUUUCAAACAUCUAACACUAGAAGGUUACCUAAGAGCACAAGGUUGCUUUGAAGAACUAUUUAUCAAAAUAGGUGCCACUGGCAAGCACUUAAUGAGGUUUUCAUGGAUAAAUAACACAGAGGGAACCAAACUCAACAUUCCCUCACCAUGUGGUAGUUUAGUAUAUUCAAUAUGGUAUCAUGGAUGAAAAAAUUUCAACCUAUUCAGUAUCUCUCAUGCCCUUAGGUCAUAGUGUCUUUUCUAUGAAGCAACUGGCAAGACCUCUGUCCCCAUAUGACACUCUCUAAAUCUAUCAUGAGAACACUGAAAUCACAUCAUGGCAUAGAACAUAAAACUACUUUAGUCUUUAUAUUAAAUAUGGCAUCCUAUAGAAUAAUUAAAUAUUUCUCUCUGGUCACAUAAGCAGUCAGAAAAUGAUCAGCAUCUUAAAGAAAAUGGGAUUAAGAAUAUAAAUAAUCAAACACUGUCCAAUUUUCCCCGAGCACGUGUUUAAAAUGAACAGCCAAGUCACUACACUCAAGGGAAGGGCCUGCAUGAGGAAGAUAUGAGGAUUUAUAGGAGUAGCUUUGAGCAGUCUCUCCAGACAGUAAACUCUAGUGCGAGGUUAGGGCAAGGCAACUGCAAUCAUUUGAGACAUUCAGUUGUUUCUCGUAGUCAAGUAAAGUUAUGACUCAAUUAUCUAAUCAGUAGUUUAAAUAAGAAGUUGGAUCCCGAUUAAUCAUUGCUUUGUAUGAAUUGACUCAAACCAAAAAUGGAGCUACUAAUUCUAAGUGACAGAUCAUACAUACAUACAUACAUACAUACACAGGCAUAUUUGGCAUUUGAUAUAUAAUGGACCAUUUAUGUGGAGAAUCCAAGAAAAAUUGUGUAUCUUUAAGACAGAAACUUCAUGAUAUUGAUAAUCUCAACAUUUAUUGGUAAAACAUAGAUCCAUCCUUACUCAGAAUGAUCAAGUAAGUAGGUUGUUGCUGACUUGGGCCUUUGUUGAUUUUUUUUUCUACUUCUCCUCUUCUUUUGUCCAACCUUCUAACAACCAGUUCUUGUUGCCAUGGCAAUAACUGCUGAGACCACAUUGACCUCUACCGGGUCCAUUUCGUUUCAAGUGAAAUCUAGAACAAAAGCCAUCAAACGAUAUUUGCACCAUUGGUUCAGAGAAUUUAGUGUAAAUCACAGUCAUCUGGAGGAGGGAUCUGCAGCUCGUACACUCACACUCGUGUGUUCACUUGGUGGGCACAGCCAGGAAUUGGCAGGUUUCACCAAGCCUGAAAAUGAAUAUUUAAAAUUCACUCUCUGCAUUGGUUUCCAUUAAAGUUAACUUGAAUGUAUUAAUUUUCUCCAAAAUCAGGACAUACACAUGAGUCUUGAACUCUCUUGAAUGCUAAGGAUUGUUUGAUAGUUUUUUUUUUUUAACAUAAAUUUAUUUCACAAUAAUCCUGAGUACAGCUGCUUUACUUUAAAGCACUUGGCAAACAUGGGCUCUUAUAAAUAAAUAAAUAAAAAUCCUCCCUUGAACAUAGCAGUUUUGUUAAGUUAGAUGGUAAGCAUCAAUUUUUAUAACACAAUUUUUCGGCUUUCAAAAUUCCUUCCAUAGAAACUGGCGAUAUGGGCAAGACAGUUCUUUCUUAACCUUUCAAAGCAUUUCCAUUUACAACAGUAGCAGGCUGUGAGUUAUAUUUUUAAAUUACUACUUAAAGUCAAGCAGAGAGGCAGAAUGGCAUUAAAAGAUUGGACGAAGGCAUCAAUAAUAAUAACAUUAUAUUAAUUUGUUUCUUCAUAAGUCUGUCAGUCACCUAAUUCAAAGAAGAAAAAUAAUAAAGCUUCAUAUUGUACUUUGCUGUUUUAGACUAAAAUUACAAAUUGAAUUUUAACAUUUUUUUUUUCAGUAAAACUACAUAAACAAUAUGAAAAUUGGCUGGACUCCUAUGAUUAUAAACUUAUUCAAAAAAUCAUUCUCAAAAAUCCUCACUGUAUUUGACAAGCAUUAUGUUAUAUUGUUUAUGAGUCAUAAUGCAAUACUACAGUGAAUUCCAAUUAAUGUACAAGCAUGUGGUGUUUAUACUACAAGGUCUGUUUGCUAGGAAGCCUGAACACGGAGAAGCAAAGGGAAAGAAAACAAUUUUCCUGUACUGCUUUCUGUACACCUAGUUGCUGCAAAAGGCACCAUAAAUUAAUCUCUCGCAGAGAGUAAAGGGCCCCUGCUUCCUGCUGACAUUGUAGCUCACCUGUAGGAACUACCUCACUAAGCUUCACCCCUCUGUGGAUUGUUAUGUCCAGAUGCGCAGGAAUUAAAAUCGUUUCGGCUUUCAAAAUUCCUUCCACAGAAACUGGCGAUAUGGGCAAGAAGGUUCUUUCUUAACUUUUCAAAGCAUUUCUAAUUACAAGGGUUAGAACGUGCUGGGAAGAGCAAGCCAACCCUGCAGUUGCACCGCCCCAUGCUUUCGCACCUUGCCAAACUUGAACUUCACUGACAGAAGGCUGAAACCAACUGAUGCCUAAACUACCUAACAGCGGGCCUGGGCCUCACAAUGUGUGUGCAGCAAAACUACUAAUGGAAAGCAGAGGGAUUGAGGGAAGUUACUGUAGUUUCCUCAACAAUGAAGACAGUUGAAUAAACUUAGCCGAAGUUGCCUUUCUUCCCAAAUUUCCAAUUGACAUUUUCAAAUUUAACUAUCUUAAAUAUGAAAUAAUUAGCUUCUAAACAGAAGGCUUUCCCUGAUCUGAUCUCCCAAGAGUUUACAACCACAGAAACUAAGAAACUGCUGUGCACAAGGAGUCUGCCAGAGUCUGGCACCUUUCUAUGUACUUUACAGUGUCCACAGCUCCGUUGUUUCCUCUUUGGUCUGAUCAACUUAUUUAACAAAUGAUACAGGAGCCAGUUGUUUUUGUAUUGGUGGAAAGACUGCCUUUCCAUAGAAACCCAAACACUAGUAUCACAGAAAUGAGGAGCCAUUUAGUAUUCAUCUACAAAUCCCUCCUUCCAUACAUAAAUAAUGCUGUCUUAUAAACCCUACUCUAAAUAUCCUAUGUGACCCAAUAGAAUUAAAUUAGUCUUGAGAAUUAAAACAGUUCAGUUCCCCAUACUGCUGUUCAAUGGGCAUGGAACUCUGAUGGAGUGAAUUUGCUUUCCCCAACCUGUUCCCUCAACUUUAGACAGAAUUUGAGGUUACUAUCUCAAUAAAUAAAUAAAUAAAUAAAUAAAUAAAUAAAUAAAUAAAUAAAAUAUACU
rnacentral:lncRNA from 1 species